rnacentral:ncRNA from 1 species
UAGCACUAGGGGAGUCCUUUCAUAUCGAAAGACUGAGAUUGAACUAAAGUUCUAAACCCUUUGAACCUGAUUCAGUUAGAACUGACGUAGGGAAGUGGAUAUG